UACGUAGGGCGCAAGCGUUGUCCGGAAUUAUUGGGCGUAAAGAGCUCGUAGGCGGUUUAUCACGUCGGCUGUGAAAUCCCGAGGCUUAACCUCGGGCCUGCAGUCGAUACGGGUUGACUAGAGUGAAGCAGGGGAGACUGGAAUUCCUGGUGUAGCGGUGAAAUGCGCAGAUAUCAGGAGGAACACCGGUGGCGAAGGCGGGUCUCUGGGCUUUAACUGACGCUGAGGAG
rnacentral:rRNA from 1 species